AUUAGAACACCGAAGUCAAGCAUCAUUGGGCGCGGUCAGUACUUGGGUGGGUGACCACCUCGGAACACCACGCGCCGUU